rnacentral:rRNA from 1 species
GUGGGGAAUUGUUCGCAAUGGGCGCAAGCCUGACGACGCAACGCCGCGUGGAGGAUGAAGAUCUUCGGGUCGUAAACUCCUUUCGAUCGAGACGAACGGCCUCCGGAUUAACACACCGGAGGAGUGACGGUACCGAGAGAAGAAGCCCCGGCUAACUCCGUGCCAGCAGCCGCGGUAAUACGGGGGGGGCAAGCGUUGUUCGGAAUUACUGGGCGUAAAGGGCUCGUAGGCGGCCAACUAAGUCAGACGUGAAAUCCCUCGGCUUAACCGGGGAACUGCGUCUGAUACUGGAUGGCUUGAGUGUGGGAGAGGGAUGCGGAAUUCCAGGUGUAGCGGUGAAAUGCGUAGAUAUCUGGAGGAACACCGGUGGCGAAGGCGGCAUCCUGGACUACUACUGACGCUGAGGAGCGAAAGCCAGGGGAGCAAACGGGAUUAGAAACCCUUGUAGUCC